AGAUUGAACGCUGGCGGCAGGCCUAACACAUGCAAGUCGAGCGGUAGAGAGGUGCUUGCACCUCUUGAGAGCGGCGGACGGGUGAGUAAUGCCUAGGAAUCUGCCUAGUGGUGGGGGAUAACGUUCGGAAACGGACGCUAAUACCGCAUACGUCCUACGGGAGAAAGCGGGGGACCUUCGGGCCUCGCGCCAUUAGAGUGACGCCGUAGGUCGGUAUUAGCUUAGGUUGGUAGGAGGUUAAGUGGCUCCAACCGAAGGCCGACGAUACCGUAACUGGUCUGAGAGGAUGAUCAGUCACACGUAGGAACUGAGACGACGGUCCAGACCUCCGUACGGGAGCAGCGAGGUAGGGAAUUAGUGGAAC
rnacentral:rRNA from 1 species